CAAGUCGGUCGCCCCCACGAGGGGCGAGGCGCAAGGGUGAGUAAGGCGACGGCAACCCACCCCCCGAUUGGGCAUAGCCGCGGGAAACCGCGGGUAAUUCCCAGCGACGUCCCCGGGUGGCAUCACCGGGGGACCAAAGGUGCGAUUCCGUCGGGGGACGGGCCGUCGUGGCAUCAGGUCGUUGGCGGGGUCGCGGCCCACCAAGCCGAUGACGCCUACCGGGCGUGCGAGCGUGGCCCGGCACACUGGGACUGAGACACUGCCCAGACUCCUACGGGAGGCUGCAGUCGAGAAUCUUCGGCAAUGGGCGCCAGCCUGACCGAGCGACGCCGCGUGGAGGACGACGGCCUUCGGGUUGUAAACUCCUGUCGGGGGGGAACAAGGGCGUGUGCAGAGCACGCCUUGAGUGAUCCCCGGAGGAAGCACGGGCUAAGUUCGUGCCAGCAGCCGCGGUAAGACGAACCGUGCGAACGUUAUUCGGAAUCACUGGGCUUAAAGCGCGUGUAGGCGGGCCGGCACGUCGGUUGCUGAAAGCCCCCGGCUCAACCGGGGAACGGGCACCGAUACGACCGGCCUGGAGGGGGGUAGGGGGCGCCGGAACUGCCGGUGGAGCGGUGAAAUGCGUUGAGAUCGGCAGGAACGCCCGUGGCGAAGGCGGGCGCCUGGAACCCCGGCCUGACGCUGAGACGCGAAAGCCAGGGGGAGCGAACGGGAUUAGAUACCCCGGGUUAGUCCUGGCCGUAAACCAUGAAGCACCGGGCCGCGGGCUCGCCAAU
rnacentral:rRNA from 1 species